UACGGGGGGGGCAAGCGUUGUUCGGAAUUACUGGGCGUAAAGGGCUCGUAGGCGGCCAACUAAGCCAGACGUGAAAUCCCUCGGCUUAACCGGGGAACUGCGUCUGAUACUGGAUGGCUUGAGAUUGGGAGAGGGAUGCGGAAUUCCAGGUGUAGCGGUGAAAUGCGUAGAUAUCUGGAGGAACACCGGUGGCGAAGGCGGCAUCCUGGACCAACACUGACGCUGAGGAGCGAAAGCGUGGGGAGCGAACGGG
rnacentral:rRNA from 1 species